AGUCGAACGAAGUAGCAAUACUUAGUGGCAGACGGGUGAGUAACAUGUAGGUAUCUGCCCUUUGGCCUGGAAUAACACGAGGAAACUUGUGCUAAUACCGGAUAAGUCUUUACGGAGAAAGCUUUAUGCACCAUUGGAUGAGCCUGCACUUGAUUAGUUUGUUGGUGGGGUAAUGGCCUACCAAGACUGUGAUCAAUAGCUGAUUUGAGAGGAUGAUCAGCCACAUUGGGACUGAGACACGGCCCAAACUCCUACGGGAGGCAGCAGUGGGGAAUCUUGCACAAUGGAGGAAACUCUGAUGCAGCGAUGCCGCGUGAGUGAAGAAGGCCCUUGGGUUGUAAAGCUCUUUCGUCGGGGAAGAAAAUGACUGUACCCGAAUAAGAAGGUCCGGCUAACUUCGUGCCAGCAGCCGCGGUAGUACGAAGGGACCUAGCGUAGUUCGGAAUUACUGGGCUUAAAGAGUUCGUAGGUGGUUGAAAAAGUUAGUGGUGAAAUCCCAGAGCUUAACUCUGGAACUGCCAUUAAAACUUUUCAGCUAGAGUAUGAUAGAGGAAAGCAGAAUUUCUAGUGUAGAGGUGAAAUUCGUAGAUAUUAGAAAGAAUACCAAUUGCGAAGGCAGCUUUCUGGAUCAUUACUGACACUGAGGAACGAAAGCAUGGGUAGCGAAGAGGAUUAGAUACCCUCGUAGUCCAUGCCGUAAACGAUGUGUGUUAGACGUUGGAAAUUUAUUUUCAGUGUCGCAGGGAAACCGAUAAACACACCGCCUGGGGAGUACGACCGCAAGGUUAAAACUCAAAUGAAUUGACGGGGACC
rnacentral:rRNA from 1 species